rnacentral:rRNA from 1 species
AUGAACUCCUUGGUUAGCCUACUUAUGUACUUGAUGGGAUUCUAUAGUUUGCGUGAAUCCCUUCACCAGGAAGUCGCCAAAUAUUUGUCUAGGUUCUUCUGGGCAGGACCAGACAAUAGACAAAAAUAUCACAUGGUGAAAUGGUCCUAGGUUUGCAAGCCAAAGGACCAAGGCGGUUUGGGAUUCAUCUCAUCCAAGCGGAUGAACAUAGCCUUGCUCUCUAAAUGGCUAUGGCGCAUUGAGGCAGGGGAUGGGGGCCUAUGGCUCCAGAUCAUCCGUGCAAAGUACUUGCGUGGACAACCCCUUGCCUUCGCCUCCCGGACGGGUGGUUCCCAGUUUUGGCAAUCAGUCAUCCAGCUAAUGCCAGUCCUACGGAUUGGAUCGUCCAUCUCAGUAGGGACAGGCACCAAUACCCUGUUCUGGCUGGACCGUUGGUCGGGUGAUAGGCCAUUCGCCCAACGGUUC